GGAGGUCACUGCUAUUGGGAUUCGACUAAGCCAUGCGAGUCGAGAGGGUUCGGCCCUCGGCUGACGGCUCAGUAACACGUGGAUAAUCUGCCCUUAGGUGGAAGAUAAUCUCGGGAAACUGAGAAUAAUACUCCAUAGAUCUAGGAUGCUGGAAUGCACUUAGAUUGAAAGCUCCGGCGCCUAAGGAUGAGUCUGCGGACUAUCAGGUAGUAGUCAGGGUAAAGACCUGACUAGCCUACGACGGAUACGGGUUGUGAGAGCAAUAACCCGGAGACGAUAUCUGAGACACGAUAUCGGGCCCUACGGGGCGCAGCAGGCGCGAAAACUUCACACUGUGCGAAAGCACGAUGAGGGAAUCCCAAGUGCCAACUCGUAAGAGUUGGCUGUUUCUAUGUCUAAAAAACAGAGAGAGUAAGAGCUGGGUAAGACGGGUGCCAGCCGCCGCGGUAAUACCUGCAGCUCAAGUGGUGGCCGCUAUUAUUGGGCCUAAAACGUCCGUAGCCGGUUUAAUAAAUGCCGGGGUAAAUCGUGUAGCUUAACUAUACGAAUUCCGGGUAGACUGUUAGACUUGAGACCGGGAGAAGCUAGAGGUACUCCUGGGGUAGAGGUGAAAUUCUGUAAUCCUAGGGGGACCACCAGUGGCGAAGGCGUCUAGCUAGAACGGGUCUGACGGUGAGGGACGAAGCCCUGGGGCGCAAACCGGAUUAGAUACCCGGGUAGUCCAGGGUGUAAACGCUGCUUGCUUGAUGUUAGUUGGGCUCCGAGCCCAAUUAGUGUCGGAGAGAAGUUGUUAAGCAAGCUGCCUGGGAAGUACGGUCGCAAGACUGAAACUUAA
rnacentral:rRNA from 1 species